AUGAGAGUUUGAUCCUGGCUCAGGACGAACGCUGGCGGCGUGCCUAAUACAUGCAAGUCGAACGCUUCUUUCCUCCCGAGUGCUUGCACUCAAUUGGAAAGAGGAGUGGCGGACGGGUGAGUAACACGUGGGUAACCUACCCAUCAGAGGGGGAUAACACUUGGAAACAGGUGCUAAUACCGCAUAACAGUUUAUGCCGCAUGGCAUAAGAGUGAAAGGCGCUUUCGGGUGUCGCUGAUGGAUGGACCCGCGGUGCAUUAGCUAGUUGGUGAGGUAACGGCUCACCAAGGCCACGAUGCAUAGCCGACCUGAGAGGGUGAUCGGCCACACUGGGACUGAGACACGGCCCAGACUCCUACGGGAGGCAGCAGUAGGGAAUCUUCGGCAAUGGACGAAAGUCUGACCGAGCAACGCCGCGUGAGUGAAGAAGGUUUUCGGAUCGUAAAACUCUGUUGUUAGAGAAGAACAAGGACGUUAGUAACUGAACGUCCCCUGACGGUAUCUAACCAGAAAGCCACGGCUAACUACGUGCCAGCAGCCGCGGUAAUACGUAGGUGGCAAGCGUUGUCCGGAUUUAUUGGGCGUAAAGCGAGCGCAGGCGGUUUCUUAAGUCUGAUGUG
rnacentral:rRNA from 1 species